rnacentral:rRNA from 1 species
GACAGCAGCCGCCGCGGUAAAACGGAGGGUGCAAGCGUUAAUCGGAAUUACUGGGCGUAAAGCGCACGCAGGCGGUCUGUCAAGUCAGAUGUGAAAUCCCCGGGCUUAACCUGGGAACUGCAUUUGAAACUGGCAGGCUAGAGUCUUGUAGAGGGGGGUAGAAUUCCAGGUGUAGCGGUGAAAUGCGUAGAGAUCUGGAGGAAUACCGGUGGCGAAGGCGGCCACCUGGACAAAGACUGACGCUCAGGUGCGAAAGCGUGGGGAGCAAACAGGAUUAGAUACCCCAGUAGUCCCUGUCUCUUAUAC